GCUGGCUCUUAGAAGAGAGCUGUUAAUGCUACAUUUAGUUUAAGUUCCCUCUCAGUAAAUUCUUGAAUCCCUCAAUUCAGACACCUGCGUAAAACUUCCUCUUGAUUGCACAUUCAAUAGCUUAAAAAAGAUCCACUAAAACUCGUAUAUUAUUGUUUAAAUUCAGAGGUUUUUAUGUCUAAAGUAACUGGUUCAGUAAAAUGGUUUAACGAAACUAAAGGUUUUGGUUUCCUAUCUCAAGACAACGGCGGCCAAGAUGUAUUCGUACACUUCAACGCUAUCGUUGCUGACGGUUUCAAAACUUUGACUGAAGGUCAGAAAGUAAGCUUCAAUGUAGAAGAUGGUAAAAAAGGUCCUCAAGCGACUGAAGUUACUCCUCUAUAAGAUAGCUUUUCUUGGUGCAGCAUCUCCUUGCUGCACCAAACU
rnacentral:sRNA from 1 species